UACGUAGGGACCGAGCGUUGUCCGGAAUCAUUGGGCGUAAAGGGCGCGUAGGCGGCAUGGCAAGUCGGGAGUGAAAGGCCUGGGCUCAACCGAGGAACUGCUUUCGAGACUGCCAAGCUAGAGUGCGGAAGGGGCAUCUGGAAUUCCCAGUGUAGCGGUGAAAUGCGUAGAUAUUGGGAAGAACACCUGAGGCGAAGGCGGGAUGCUGGGCCGACACUGACGCUGAGGCGCGAAAGCCAGGGGAGCAAACGGG
rnacentral:rRNA from 1 species